rnacentral:misc_RNA from 1 species
CAAACUUUGAGAGUUGGAAUCAUCUGUGAAGUACAAAUUCAGAGCCCAGAGCCAAAACCAUGCUAAUAAUGUGGGAAAAUAAAUUGGGGACCCAAAACGAACAAGCCUAUCUGCCAGUGUUAUCCACCAGACUAUAUUUCCAAGCAAACACUAAAAUCUACAUUCUAAACAAUAACCAAUGUGACAUAAGCCACCAGAAUUUGAUCCAUCAACCGUCCAAAACUUUUGAUCUCAACUCAAAUCCAAUAUUACCCUCACCAAUCUCAAUGCAGCCAUUCCAAUGAUUCUAUUGUGGCUGGUCUGAUGACUUAAUCUGAAACCAAUGGAAACAAUAAAUCGACUCCUCUACAGAUAUUGCCUUCAACUCAGCUUAGGUCGGAUCUACUUCUGUCCAAUGGAAUGCGUGAAUCCAACGUUGAAAGGAUUUGAGGCAUCGACAUUCCCCCAGACACUACAAUUUCAAUGCCUUC